rnacentral:other from 1 species
GAGAUCCUGCUGUGUGCGUGAAGAGUUGACCUGUUUUGAGCCGAAUGCAUUUGAAGAGGGAGCUUAGUCUCUGGUAGUGGCGUACAUGCCCCGUUCGGGGAAGUGUAAAAUUAUCAGGCUGGCACCCACCUGCUUGAGAGAGCAGCUUCAAAAACGGUCAACCCACGGCAUGGUGGGGUCUUU